rnacentral:rRNA from 1 species
ACGAACGCUGGCGGCGUGCCUAAUACAUGCAAGUAGAACGCUGAAGAGAGGAGCUUGCUCUUCUUGGAUGAGUUGCGAACGGGCGAGUAACGCGUAGGUAACCUGCCUUGUAGCGGGGGAUAACUAUUGGAAACGAUAGCUAAUACCGCAUAACAAUAGGUGACACAUGUCAUUUAUUUGAAAGGGGCAAUUGCUCCACUACAAGAUGGACCUGCGUUGUAUUAGCUAGUAGGUGAGGUAACGGCUCACCUAGGCGACGAUACAUAGCCGACCUGAGAGGGUGAUCGGCCACACUGGGACUGAGACACGGCCCAGACUCCUACGGGAGGCAGCAGUAGGGAAUCUUCGGCAAUGGGGGCAACCCUGACCGAGCAACGCCGCGUGAGUGAAGAAGGUUUUCGGAUCGUAAAGCUCUGUUGUAAGUCAAGAACGAGUGUGAGAGUGGAAAGUUCACACUGUGACGGUAGCUUACCAGAAAGGGACGGCUAACUACGUG